GAAGCAUCCUUCGGGAUGUGGAAAGUGGCGCACGGGUGAGUAACGCGUGGGAACCUGCCUAGAAGUUCAGAAUAACCAUUGGAAACGAUGGCUAAUACUGGAUACGCCCUUCGGGGGAAAGAUUUAUCGCUUCUAGAUGGGCCCGCGUCCGAUUAGAUAGUUGGUGGGGUAAUGGCCUACCAAGUCUGCGAUCGGUAGCUGGUCUGAGAGGACGAUCAGCCACACUGGGACUGAGACACGGCCCAGACUCCUACGGGAGGCAGCAGUGGGGAAUAUUGGACAAUGGACGCAAGUCUGAUCCAGCAAUGCCGCGUGUGUGAUGAAGGCCUUAGGGUUGUAAAGCACUUUCAGCUGUGAAGAUGAUGACUGUAGCAGCAGAAGAAGCCCCGGCUAACUCCGUGCCAGCAGCCGCGGUAAUACGGAGGGGGCAAGCGUUGUUCGGAAUUACUGGGCGUAAAGCGCGCGUAGGCGGCGAUGAUAGUCAGAGGUGAAAUGCCCGGGCUCAACCCGGGAGGUGCCUUUGAUACUUCAUUGCUAGGAUUCAGGAGAGGUGAGCGGAAUUCCGAGUGUAGAGGUGAAAUUCGUAGAUAUUCGGAAGAACACCAGUGGCGAAG
rnacentral:rRNA from 1 species